rnacentral:rRNA from 1 species
GACGAACGCUGGCGGCGUGCUUAACACAUGCAAGUCGAACGGAAAGGCCCCUUUGGGGGUACUCGAGUGGCGAACGGGUGAGUAACACGUGAGUAACCUGCCCUUGACUUCGGGAUAACUUCAGGAAACUGGGGCUAAUACCGGAUAGGAAUCCUUGCUGCAUGGUGGGGGUUGGAAAGCUUCGGCGGUUUUGGAUGGACUCGCGGCUUAUCAGCUUGUUGGUGGGGUAGUGGCUUACCAAGGCUUUGACGGGUAGCCGGCCUGAGAGGGCGACCGGCCACAUUGGGACUGAGAUACGGCCCAGACGCCUACGGGAGGAAGCAGUGGGGAAUAUUGCACAAUGGGCGGAAGCCUGAUGCAGCAACGCCGCGUGCGGGAUGACGGCCUUCGGGUUGUAAACCGCUUUCAGCAGGGGCGAAGCUUGUGGUGACGGUACCUGCAGAAGAAGCACCGGCUAACUACGUG